rnacentral:rRNA from 2 species
GGAACUCAAAGGAGACUGCCAGUGAUAAACUGGAGGAAGGUGGGGAUGACGUCAAGUCAUCAUGGCCCUUACGACCAGGGCUACACACGUGCUACAAUGGCGCAUACAAAGAGAAGCGACCUCGCGAGAGCAAGCGGACCUCAUAAAGUGCGUCGUAGUCCGGAUUGGAGUCUGCAACUCGACUCCAUGAAGUCGGAAUCGCUAGUAAUCGUGGAUCAGAAUGCCACGGUGAAUACGUUCCCGGGCCUUGUACACACCGCCCGUCACACCAUGGGAGUGGGUUGCAAAAGAAGUAGGUAGCUUAACCUUCGGGAGGGCGCUUACCACUUUGUGAUUCAUGACUGGGGUGAAGUCGUAACAAGGUAACCGUAGGGGAACCUGC